UACGAAGGUCCCGAGCGUUAUCCGGAUUUAUUGGGUUUAAAGGGUGCGUAGGCGGGUUAUUAAGUCAGUGGUGAAAGCCUACAGCUUAACUGUAGAAUUGCCAUUGAUACUGAUGAUCUUGAGUAUGAUUGAGGUGGGCGGAAUGUGUCAUGUAGCGGUGAAAUGCUUAGAUAUGACACAGAACACCGAUUGCGAAGGCAGCUCACUAAGUCAUAACUGACGCUGAUGCACGAAAGCGUGGGGAGCAACAGG
rnacentral:rRNA from 1 species